rnacentral:lncRNA from 1 species
AAUAGAGCUUAGCCAUGUGUAGGCCGAAAUGGUCUCGCGAAGCCCGUCACCGUCUAAUCACUUGAGAUGCUGGGGGAACAUUGUUCACCGGGAUAGAAGGCUGGUCCCAACCCGUCUACCAAUGUCAUUUCAUGAAGAUGGACACUGGCUUGGGGGCGGGCGCCUAUCCGACAUAUAAUAGGUACAGCCGGUAUAAUAUAAUAUAUUCUUACUAUGAAGAAUCGUUCCACCCUAUUGUCAGCUCUACGGCUGAGAAAGUAUUCCCCGGUAAUCCGAAGAGUUAGGAAGAAAGUCUUCUUAUUGGGCAAACAAGGUACUCUUAUUUUUAAGAAAUCGAUGCCUUUCUUCUUUUCUUUUGAAAAAGCCGUAUUUUCAGUUCACUUCCCCUUUUCUCUGUUGGUCAACAACCAACCCCCUAGUAGAUAUAGAAAGAACCAUCCCAACAAAGCUAGAGGGUGGACCGAUGAUCCAACCCCAUACCGAGAUUCCUUUUGAUAAGUAUGUUACAAUUUCAUCUUUCGCUCGUUCCCUCAAGAGCUAGAUUUAAGGAAGUAGUUAUGUCAGCAAGCUCGAGGUCUAACCUCAUCCUAAAACGACUUCUCCAAGCCGUAGACGGAAGACCAAGAUUCUGAUAAUGAUACAUCCUAAGCUAUGGGAAGAAGUACGAUGCUUUUAGCCAAUUCUACCUCUUAGCGAGGGCUUGACAGAGUUCUCAUAGGGGAUUCCGGUAUAUCGUAUAAAAGAGAAAGGAUUCAUUUAGGAGCGCUCUUUUCAUCCAACUCGAAAUGUCGUAAGUAACAAUAGCGCAAAAGCCAUAGCACAGCUUAUUUAUCAUUUGAAUUUCUCCAAAUUGGAAUUCCUCUCCUAUGUUCUCAAAAACGCUUCCCUUUUUACUUGAAUUUUCAGCGAUCGUUUUUUCUACUAUUUUAGCGAUUAUGAUAGAGAUAAAGCUCUUUAGAUGGUCUUUUCUAAGGAUUCCGGUAUAUCGUAAUACAAAGAAAGGAUUCAUUUAGGAGCGCUCUUUCAUCAAACUCGAAAUGUCGUAAGAAAAGAAACAUCGUAAGUAACAAUAGCGCAAAAGCCAUAGCACAGCUUAUUUAUCAUUUGAAUUUCUCCAAAUUGGAAUUCCUCUCCUAUGUUCUCAAAAACGCUUCCCUUUUUACUUGAAUUUUCAGCGAUCGUUUUUUCUACUAUUUUAGCGAUUAUGAUAGAGAUAAAGCUCUUUAGAUGAAUUCCUCUCCUAUGUUCUCAAAAACCUUCCCUUUUUACUUGAAUUUUCAGCGAUCGUUUUU